UUUUAGCCCCAGUAGUAGUGUAAAGCCUUUGUGGUUGGGACCUACUUUUUUCUUGCGCUGGUAGAGCGACCAAAGGAAGCUCCUGCCAGCGGAUAGAAAAAGAGCGACCAAACGCAACGCUUGAAACGGAUAAUGGGAAUUGGC
rnacentral:sRNA from 1 species